CUUUCGAAAGAAAGAUUAAUACCGGAUGGCAUAAUUAUUCCGCAUGGGAUAAUUAUUAAAGAAUUUCGGUUGUCGAUGGGGAUGCGUUCCAUUAGGCAGUUGGCGGGGUAACGGCCCACCAAACCUACGAUGGAUAGGGGUUCUGAGAGGAAGGUCCCCCACAUUGGAACUGAGACACGGUCCAAACUCCUACGGGAGGCAGCAGUGAGGAAUAUUGGUCAAUGGACGAGAGUCUGAACCAGCCAAGUAGCGUGAAGGAUGACUGCCCUAUGGGUUGUAAACUUCUUUUAUACGGGAAUAAAGUGAGCCACGUGUGGCUUUUUGUAUGUACCGUAUGAAUAAGGAUCGGCUAACUCCGUGCCAGCAGCCGCGGUAAUACGGAGGAUCCGAGCGUUAUCCGGAUUUAUUGGGUUUUAAAGGGAGCGUAGGCGGGUUGUUAAGUCAGUUGUGAAAGUUUGCGGCUCAACCGUAAAAUUGCAGUUGAUACUGGCGACCUUGAGUGCAACAGAGGUAGGCGGAAUUCGUGGUGUAGCGGUGAAAUGCUUAGAUAUCACGAAGAACUCCGAUUGCGAAGGCAGCUUACUGG
rnacentral:rRNA from 1 species